GGCAGAGAACCUGGGUGGGAAUGGAGAGGCUCAGAUCUCAGUUCAUUCUCAGAACCUGCUGACUGAAGGAGUUCAGCCCUCAGGAGUCAUGGCCUUACUGCAGAAGAUAGGUGUGCACUCGGACAAUGAAUAUUCCUAAACAUUUAUAGGCAUCUGUAAGUGUUGUAAUGUAUUGAAAAACUAUAGGACUGUAGGUAUUGAAUAAAAGUGAACUGCCACAUAAAAUGACAAUCUGUUUUUCUUGAUACCUUUCAACUAUGGACGUAUUUGAUCUAUAGAUGUUUAUCUUUUUGUGAAUUAACCAGGCAUGAUGGAUUUCAAAUAGCCAAUAACCAUUUGACUUUAUGUUACUAAAAUAUAAAUUUGGCAUCAUGGGAAUGUUCUGUGUGGAAGUUCACAAAUCUAAAUAACCACUGGACAUUAGAUCUUGGGAAUACUUGUACCCAGGAGCUACACACACACAUACACACACACACACACACAUAUAUAUAUUUGGGGUUUCUUACAUAUCUUGACUUUAAAUAUUUUUAAGCUUCUUUUUUGUUAAACUUCCCAGAGUGGAAUACAUCCAGGAUUUACAGAUCCAUCAUUCUAACUGAGAUAAAUUAGGAAAAUUAAAAAUUGUAUUUUAGCAAAAACUCAUAUAGAAUAGAAUAGUAAUGUCAUCUGAUCUACCAGAGGCUAAUUCAUUGGAAGAAGUGAAAUGAAACUUUUGAACAUACAUCUGGCUCCAGUCACAGUAUAUUAAGUCACACAGGCUGAUGCAGAUAUCACAAAUGAGUUAUUAAUUUCACUAUAUUACAGGAGAAGGAAAGAGAAGCUUAGAGUUGGUUAUUUCCAGUCUCCAGAGGCUCUGCUAUGAUUGCAACACUCGUCUUUUUCUCAGUAAAGAGCACAACAUAAUCCUACAUAGUAUAAGCUCAGAGAGAAUAUACACAUACACAGACUGCCUGCACUUCAUCUUCAGCCAGGCGUAACUGAAUGUCCCAGUCAAUAUUUAGCACAUCUUCCCUGUCCCUUCAUGAAUUCCUCCAACCCCAGAGAACUAGCUGGAAACCCCCAGAAAACAAGUGCUAAAAAUAUGCCUCCCAGAGUGUUUGGAAAGACUGUCAGAAAAUUGUACCAUUCUGGGAGAGACCAUGUUGCUCCAAUAUCAACCAUCCUCUAUGGGUUUGCUAUGUAGGGUUCUCUUCUUACUCCCUCAAUUAUUAGAAGUUGUUAUACCUUAUUUUUACUCAGUUGCAAAACUUUACAAAUUCCAAAGGCAGAACAUAUUUCUUAAAUUUGUCUUUAAUUAAAGAUAAACUGCUCAAUAGCAACAAUGGCAUUAACCUACUUAUUAUAUUUUUAGAAAAAUUAUAAAUAUAUAUGUUUUAAAGCACAUAUGUAAACUUUGUUAAUAUUAAAGUAAUAGGAAUACAGAAUAGCAUGAAAUGCCUGUUUAAUUAACACUGCCCUUGUUCGAGUAAAAGGCAUUGCCAUUGAUAGCUGAAUGUUUGACAUUGUUUUUAAGGUGGGGAUAAUGGGCAAACCUUUGAGAAGCAGAGGGAAGAGAAUCACCAUGAAUAGGGAAGGUGAAGGAAGAUCAGGAAAAAGAUCUGAAUGGCAUCUGUCUCUACAAGACAAAGAGAAUCCAAGAAAACAAGUUAUUGAGACAGCCCAUUAGACAAUGCAGUGGAAAUGGGACAGGAGAGUGGAAACAGAGGCAGGUUUUGUAACUUCCUACCUGUGAUAGAAAGAGAGAAAGGAAGAAAGGAAGGAAGGAAGAAAGAAAGAGAGAGAGAGAACAAAAGAAAGAACAAAAGAAAG
rnacentral:lncRNA from 1 species